GAUGAACGCUGGCGGCGUGCUUAACACAUGCAAGUCGAACGGUGAACGAGGGAGCUUGCUCCCUCCGGAUCAGUGGCGAACGGGUGAGUAACACGUGAGCAAUCUGCCCCGAACUCUGGGAUAAGCGUUGGAAACGACGUCUAAUACCGGAUACGACGCGCGAAGGCAUCUUCUGCGCGUGGAAAGAAUUUCGGUUCGGGAUGAGCUCGCGGCCUAUCAGCUAGUUGGUGAGGUAAAGGCUCACCAAGGCGACGACGGGUAGCCGGCCUGAGAGGGUGACCGGCCACACUGGGACUGAGACACGGCCCAGACUCCUACGGGAGGCAGCAGUGGGGAAUAUUGCACAAUGGGCGAAAGCCUGAUGCAGCAACGCCGCGUGAGGGACGACGGCCUUCGGGUUGUAAACCUCUUUUAGUAGGGAAGAAGCGAAAGUGACGGUACCUGCAGAAAAAGCACCGGCUAACUACGUGCCAGCCGCCGCCGUAAAAC
rnacentral:rRNA from 1 species